CCCUUAGAUGUUCUGGGCCGCACGCGCGCUACACUGACGAAUGCAACGAGCUUAUAACCUUGGCCGAAAGGUCUGGGUAAUCUCCAAAUUUCGUCGUGAUAGGGAUAGAUUAUUGAAAUUAUUAAUCUUGAACGAGGAAUUCCUAGUAAACGCAGAUCAUCAAUCUGCAUUGAUUACGUCCCUGCCCUUUGUACACACCGCCCGUCGCACCUACCGAUUGGAUGGUCCGGUGAAGCCUCGGGAUUGUGGUUCUUGCCGCUUUAUUGUGGCGUGACCGCGAGAACUUGUCUAAACCUUAUCAUCUAGAGGAAGGUGAAGUCGUAACA
rnacentral:rRNA from 1 species